AUUGAACGCUGGCGGCAGGCCUAACACAUGCAAGUCGAGCGGUAACACAGAGAGCUUGCUCUCGGGUGACGAGCGGCGGACGGGUGAGUAAUGUCUGGGAAACUGCCUGAUGGAGGGGGAUAACUACUGGAAACGGUAGCUAAUACCGCAUAAUGUCGCAAGACCAAAGAGGGGGACCUUCGGGCCUCUUGCCAUCAGAUGUGCCCAGAUGGGAUUAGCUAGUAGGUGGGGUANNNUUUUUUCUAGGCGACGAUCCCUAGCUGGUCUGAGAGGAUGACCAGCCACACUGGAACUGAGACCCGGUCCAGACUCCUACGGGAGGCAGC
rnacentral:rRNA from 1 species